CAAAAACAAAGAUGCUUGAAUACAAUAAGAGCAUGCUAAUGUGACAUGAUUGGAAUAAAAAUGUUGGUCACUAAAUAAAUGUUCUGACUUUUUUAUACAUUCAUAAGUAACAAACCUUUUUUCAUCUUAUUUUAAAGACUUUAUUUACAACUGUAGGUUCUUCUGUAAUGUACAGGCGUCUAAAAUGUUCCCUUCUCAGAUUGUACGCUACAAAUGUCAUGAAAGUACGAGGACAAAAAGGAAAUACUGAUACAUUUCCACUUUUUUGGUGAAAGAUAACACAAAACCUGAAAUAACUGAAAAGCAAAACCUAAUGACUGUUGACAACGUAAACUGCUUGAGGGUAUCCAGAUUAUUCUGUUUUUUGUCUCAUUCCAAAUACAGUACAGUAACUUUACAAAAAACAACCAAUCAAAACCAUCAAAAAUAUCAGUCGUAUACCAAAUUAUCUGGAUUUCAGUAAUCACACCACUGGAUGGCAAGCAUCAAACGGUAUCUCUAGUUGGCACCACUGGCGCACAACAAAUAAUAAUAAUUACAAAGAUAAAUCUUUGUAAUUCCAAAUAAACACAAAUAAAAACCCAAACCGUACACAGUAUAUACACACCGUUCCCAAAACAUACAGCACGAGUUGCAGCACAAGCAGCCAAUUCAGGAGGAUCAACCUCCCCCCUCGUACCCACCGAUAAUAAGGGUGUUAAAACCAUGGCAUAGCAUACGCCUUUAAAAAGGAGAACAUUAAUAACAACAUUAAAACCCUGCCAUUUUGCUCCUGAGUGGAUAAGUGCAAUGUGCGUCCGUGAGGGAGACAGACAGACAGACAGACAGACAGACAAAGAGGGAGAAAGAGAGAGAGAGAGAGAGAGAGCGAGCGAGCUUCAGACUACCGACGGUGGUGAUGAUAAAUAUCUUGAUGGUGGUGAUGGCGCCGCCCGCUUUGCCGAUUAGCCUCUUUACAAAACCCAGUCUUACCCGCCCUCAAUACUGGCGUUGAUUGUCACGAACUGAUUAAAUAUCGAUGCCUUGUUGCGGCAGAAGCUCCGUCCGGCCAUAUAAGUUCGUAGUGUUCUUUAGUCGCAGGCAUGGUGGCACAGAAGGGGGGGGUCCAUCAUGUAGUUCCUCUUCAGGACGUCCAGGUACUGCUGCGUGGCGCGG
ensembl:lncRNA